rnacentral:rRNA from 1 species
UACGUAGGGUGCGAGCGUUGUCCGGAAUUAUUGGGCGUAAAGGGCUCGUAGGCGGUUUGUCGCGUCGGGAGUGAAAUCAUCUGGCUUAACUGGGUGCUUGCUUUCGAUACGGGCAGACUAGAGGUAUGCAGGGGAGAAUGGAAUUCCUGGUGUAGCGGUGAAAUGCGCAGAUAUCAGGAGGAACACCGGUGGCGAAGGCGGUUCUCUGGGCAUGAUCUGACGCUGAGGAGCGAAAGUGUGGGGAGCGAACAGG